rnacentral:rRNA from 1 species
GAGUGAACGCUGGCGGUAGGCCUACCACAUGCAAGUCGAACGGCAGCACAGUAAGAGCUUGCUCUUACGGGUGGCGAGUGGCGGACGGGUGAGGAAUACAUCGGAACCUACUUUUUCGUGGGGGAUAACGUAGGGAAACUUACGCUAAUACCGCAUACGACCUACGGGUGAAAGCAGGGGAUCUUCGGACCUUGCGCGAUUGAAUGAGCCGAUGUCGGAUUAGCUAGUUGGCGGGGUAAAGGCCCACCAAGGCGACGAUCCGUAGCUGGUCUGAGAGGAUGAUCAGCCACACUGGAACUGAGACACGGUCCAGACUCCUACGGGAGGCAGCAGUGGGGAAUAUUGGACAAUGGGCGCAAGCCUGAUCCAGCCAUACCGCGUGGGUGAAGAAGGCCUUCGGGUUGUAAAGCCCUUUUGUUGGGAAAGAAAAGCAGCAGGUUAAUACCCCGCUGUUCUGACGGUACCCAAAGAAUAAGCACCGGCUAACUUCGUG